AACUUUGCAUGAUAAUUAGACAAACAUAGAUCCAAGGUUAUUAGGGUUGCAUGUACACUUAGGAAGUGUUAGAAUGCUCAAAACCCAUCAGUGGUAUCAGAGCCUAGGCUUGUUUGUUUGUUAUUUGUGCUUAAAAGUUGAAGAAAGUCGAAAAUCUUGCUGUCUGACUGAUGGACUCGGCGAGUCCAUGGGGAGGACUCGUCGAGUUCAUGUGUAUCUUCAACCUACUCGGCGAGUAGGUUUAUGCACUCGGCGAGUAGGGUCGACAGAGUGCAGAAUUUCGACUUGAGUUGCUGGAAAUGGAUUAGAAUCAUUACCCUAAAAUGUUUUGGUACUUGAAAACUUAUUUUAGAAGGUGUAAUGUCUUUUCUAACUCAUUUACAACAACUAGUUAUCAAAAUUACAAAGAUUAAAUGUGAUUUUGAUUCUUGAAAGUGUUCAUAUUCAUAUUCUUGUUCUUAUGAUGUUUAGAUGAUCAUAGGAAUUAUUUGUAACCUAUGUGGUAGAUUAAUUCAUGAUCAUAAUGUGUUUUAAUGGAGUCCAUAACUUGUCCUCAAGUUAUGGAAAACCAAAAGUCUCUUGGAUUAAAAACCAUUAAAAGAACACAAGAGUUAGGAAAAAUGAAAAGUCCUCAUUUUAUUACUCUAUUAAACUCAUAAGUUACAAGAAAUGAAAAGUUUUGAAAGUUUACAAAACUUGCCCUCAAGUUUUGGAACAAGUAAAGUUAAGUUAAAACUUUAGUUCCAACCCCUAGAAUUUUAAAAGUUAAAAUUCAACCCUUAUACUUAUAUUAUUAUGAUUUAAUAAUUAUAUAUAUAUGUAUAAGAACAAAGUCGUCUUACCGCUAGUACGCCUCAUUCACGAAGCCGGUCUAUAAGGUGGGUAUAAGGUUGUUGCCUAUAAAAUGGUGACUUAAUGGGUGUCCACUCUCACCCACCGCUUGCUUGAUCGGUGGAGGGUCGUUAGCCGAACGGGUAAGACAAGGACUUAUUAAUUCUCAUUCAAAGUAUGAUGAAUAUUAUAAAGUAACUAAAUGUUUUAUUAAAUUCCCAAUCUUAGUUACUUUAGGAAAAAUGUGAAUAAGGUGCUAUUCCAUGAAAUUACACUUUACACUUUGAUUAAGUCGUUGGUGGAGCGUGUGUGGUUAACCGGCACACUAACUUGGACUUAACAAGGUAGGUAAAGGGUGACUUAGGGUUUAUUAUAGUAUCGAUGGAGCGUGUGUGGUUAACCGGCACAUCGAUUGAGUGAUAAACUUUAAGGGUACCAAGUGAUUUGCAUGGUUACUUCACACCUCGUUUUGUGAUCCUCGGUAUCCCAGUCACAAAACUUGGAGGGCACACUCGAGAUUGAAACAUGCCUUUGAAAAGUUCAUUGAAUCUCAAAGAAUCUAGGAAUUUCUAAGAACCAUUCAAAAACCUAAUACUAAAAUAUUGCGGUUUUCGUGGUGGAAAUUGGUGAAUCGUCAUUCACCUACCUUUCAAAUAUGAUAUAGCUUAGAUUACGGCAUACCUCUUCUAAGUUAUAUUAUAUUGUGAUUGGAUCCUAGCCUUAAUAUUACAUUUGGGUGUUUUAUUAAGGACUCUCUUAUAUCUAAACUAAUCUUGUCCUCUUUCCUUCAGAUGUCUUUCAACAAUGCUUCUGGCUCUAAUCCUAAUGGCUCCUUUACCCUUAUGAACUUGUGUGGGAAAGUCACCUUUGAUGGAUCCAACUUCAAUGAGUGGAUCAGAAACAUCAGGAUGAUUACCCGCUACGAGGACAAAGAAUAUGUCCUUGACAAGGAGCUUAAGGAGAUUGAUGAGUCCACUGCAACUCCUCAGGAGAUCGCUGAAUUUCGGGCACAUGAAAGGGAUGCUACGAAAGUGGCUUGCAUCAUGAUGGCCACGAUGACAGCGGAACUCCAAAAGUCUUAUGAGGAUUUCUACCCUUAUGAAAUGCACCAAGAUUUGAUGGAAAGAUACCAUCAAAGUGCAAGACAAGAGAGGUAUGAAAUCAUCUGCUCCAUGAUAACAACCAUGAUGAAGGACGGGGAAUCCGUCACGAGCCACAUGCAGAAAAUGCAAAGGUAUGUGGAUCGUUUGCUGAAGCUUAAUGUGAACUUCCCGGAGGAUCUUGCAAUAGAUAUUAUUUUGCAUUCCUUACCAUCGUGCUAUGAUCAAUUCCGCAUGACAUAUCACAUGAACAAGGAAGAAGUCACCCUCAGCAAACUUCAGGGACUUCUCAAGACCGCAGAAUCAGGUCUUAAGGGGAAGUCGGUUGCUAUCACUCCUACUCAAAACUCUACUCCGGUUUUGGCAAUCGGGAAAAGUCGAGGGAGGAAGAGAAAGAGCUCUUCUAAGGGUACCAAGGUUCGGACCCUUGAUGGCUCUUCUUCAAGUGGAACCAAGAAAGGUUUCAUUACUCCUUCUUCUGACCCAAAAGAGGCUGAAUGCUUCUAUUGCCAUGAAAAAGCUCAUUGGAAGCGGAACUGCCCAAAAUACCAGCAAGAUGUGAAGGAUGGGAAAGUUAAACCCAACCAUGCAGGUAUUUACACUAUCAUUUCUAAUAACUCACCCCAUUCUAAUUCUUGGGUCCUUGAUACCGGGUGUGGUAUUCACAUUUGUUGUGACUUGCAGGGACUAAGAAGAAGUGAGGAUGUGGAGCAAGGAAGGAUAAACUUGAUCAUGGGGAAUAGGAAAGCUAUACCUGUUACCAAGAUUGGAGUUUAUACUUUAUCGCUAAGUAGUGGGUUUAGUUUAGAUUUGAAUAAGUGUUGUUAUUCGCCAGGAAUGGCAAGAAAUAUUAUUUCCUUUCAUGCUUUGUACAAACAAGGGUUUACCUUUUCAUUUAAUAAUGAAGUUGGUUCUAUAGAUGUUUUCUAUAAUAAUGUCUUUUAUUUUAAAGCAUUACCUUGUGAUGGUGUGUAUGAAGCUGUAUCUGUUGUAGAUAACUUGGGAAAUAAUGUUUUGUGUAUUGAUUCUACUAAUAAUAACUUGGAUAAAGCAUCUUUAUGGCAUUGUCGUCUUGGACAUAUAAGCAAGAAACGCAUAGGCCAACUCCAAAAGGAUGGAGUCUUGGAGUCGUUUGACCUAAAGUCAGAUGAUAGUUGCGAAUCAUGCUUACUUGGAAAAAUGACAAAGUCACCCUUCACAGGUUCGUGUGAGAGGGGUGAAGGUUUGUUGGACCUUAUACACACGGAUGUGUGUGGACCAUUCAAACAUGCCACAAGGGAUGCUAAUCGUUAUUAUUUGACUUUUACUGAUGAUUAUAGUAGAUAUGGAUAUGUCUACUUGAUCAAGCAUAAGUCAGAGACUUUCGAGAGGUUUAAGGAAUUUAAACAGGAAGUCGAGAAUCAAUUGGGCAGGAACAUUAAGAUGCUUCGAUCCGAUCGUGGUGGUGAGUAUCUUAGUUCAGAGUUCCUCGACUAUCUAAGGGAAUGUGGGAUAGUCUCACAAUUGACACCUCCCAGGACACCACAGUUGAAUGGUGUGGCUGAGAGGCGUAAUCGAACCUUGUUAGAUAUGGUUCGUUCCAUGAUGAGUCGAGCUACGCUACCAAUCUCAUUCUGGGGGUAUGCCUUAGAGACUGCCGCCCAUAUUCUUAAUCUAGUCCCUACAAAGAAAGUUGCCAAAACUCCUCACGAGAUGUGGACUGGUAAAGUACCUAAACUAGACCACAUCAAGAUUUGGGGUUGCGAGGCUUUCGUGAGACGCGAGACUCAUGAUAAGCUCGAACCUCGAAGCGAGAGGUGUAUUUUCAUCGGUUACCCACAGCGAUCCUUUGGUUACCUCUUCUACAGACCUAGUGACAAUGUGGUCUUUGUAGCAAGAAGAGGAGUCUUUCGAGAAAGAGAGUUUAUAAGCCAAGGAGACAGUGGGAGGCAAAUUGAUCUUGAAGAAAUUCAAGAAUCAAGCGGUGAAGGAACUUCAAACUCUAGCCCUCAACUUGAGGAGGAAACUCCUGUUGAGCCAAUUGACAAAUCUGUACCUCUGAGACGUUCCACGAGAGUUAGGAGUGCACCUGAGCAUUACUAUGGAUUCCAUAUUACUGCAGAAGGUGAGACACUUAUUAGUGAUGAGACACUAGUAAGUCAAGAUGACCCUAACAGCUACGAGGAAGCCAUGGCAGGCCCCGAGUCUGCUAAAUGGAAAGAGGCUAUGGAUAGCGAGAUACAAUCCAUGUAUGACAAUCAAGUUUGGAACUUGGUUGAAAAUGUACCAGGUCGUAAGACAGUAGGGUGCAAAUGGGUCUUCAAGAAGAAGACCGACAUGGAUGGUAAAGUACACACUUAUAAGGCUAGACUGGUUGCAAAGGGCUUCUCUCAAAUUCCUGGAGUGGAUUAUGAUGAGACCUUUUCUCCGGUAGCCAAGAUUAAGUCUAUUCGGGUUCUGUUAGCCAUAGCUGCAUUUCAUGACUAUGAAAUAUGGCAGAUGGAUGUCAAAACCGCUUUCCUUAAUGGAAAGUUGGCUGAAGAUGUUUACAUGAGUCAGCCAGAGGGUUUUGUCAGCAACGAGUACCCUAAUAGAGUGUGUAAGCUUGAGAAAUCCAUUUAUGGAUUGAAGCAAGCACCUCGCAGAUGGAAUCUUUGCUUUGAUGAAAAGGUCAAGGAAUUUGGCUUUUCUAGGAGUGAAGAUGAAUCUUGUGUGUAUGUCAAGGCUAGUGGGAGUAUAGUUAGCUUUUUGGUAUUGUAUGUGGAUGACAUACUACUCAUAGGAAACGACAUUCCAACCCUGCAGGAAGUAAAGUCCUGGCUUGGGAAGUGUUUCGCUAUGAAGGACCUUGGUGAAGCUGCCUAUAUUCUAGGGAUAAGAAUCUUGAGAGAUCGGAGUAAAAGACUAAUUGGACUUAGUCAGAGUACCUACUUGGAUAAGGUGCUGAAGAGAUUCAGCAUGCAGGAUUCCAAGAAAGGAGAGUUACCCAUCCAGAGUAACACCAGAUUGAGUAAGACACAAAGCCCUAGCACUGAGGCUGAGAUAGCAGAAAUGAGUCGAACACCUUACGCUUCGGCUGUAGGAUCGAUCAUGUAUGCUAUGACGUGUACUCGACCCGAUGUAGCUUUUGCCUUGAGCAUGGUUAGCAGGUAUCAGGCGAACCCUGGCAAGGCACACUGGACUGCGGUAAAGAAUAUCCUCAAGUACCUACGGAGGACUAAGGACUGGGUCCUUACCCUCGGUGGGAGUGAUGACUUGAGAGUUGUAGGGUAUAGUGAUGCUAGCUUCCAGACUGAUAGGGAUAAUUUCCGCUCUCAGUCGGGCUGGGUCUUUACCCUAAACGGAGGAGCAAUUUCUUGGAAGAGUUCCAAGCAAGAGACAGUGGCAGAUUCUACUUGUGAAUCAGAGUAUAUUGCAGCUAGCGAAGCAGCAAAGGAGGCGAUAUGGCUGAAGAACUUCAUUGGAGACCUUGGAGUUGUACCAGCUAUUAAAGAGCCAAUGGAAAUUUUCUGUGAUAGUGAAAGUGCUGUUGCCUUAGCCAAGGAACCAAGGGAUCAUGGGAGAUCCAGACACAUCGACAGAAAAUACCAUUUCAUUAGACAUCGGAUCGAAGAAGGACUCCUCGUGGCAAAGAGGGUAUCAUCGGAUGAGAACCCAGCAGAUCCCCUCACGAAGGGACUGAGUAGGGUUAAGCAUCUCCAGCAUGCUCGGAGCAUAGGGCUGAAGGAUGAUAUAAGUUUUAGUAGUUAGAUAACCCAGAAAUUUGUAAAGUGUAAUUGACAUUUGAUGAUGAAUAAAAGGUGUUUUAUUUAUGAGUAAAGUGUUGCUAUCUCUUGUCAAUCGUUUACUAUAUUUCUUUUGCAUGUUUUGACUUCCAGAAUAAUUUUGUUUGGUGUAACAUAUUAUUCAAACCUCCACAGUCGGUCAUAUGUCGGAAGUAGGUAUGAAUCAAGACUGUCAUGAUGGGUUGUAGAGGUCUAAGGUGUUGGACAAGGCUACAACAAUCAUGAGUGCUCAUAAGUUCUGAGCAUUGGACUCAACCCACGCUCACUGGAAUCACUUCAUGGAAUUCUAUCUCGAGUGAUCGUGAGACGGUAAUAUCAUAUAAGUCUUCAAACCUAGAGAUAUGAUUUGUUACUUACAAGUUGGUUAUGCAUUGACUGUACGAAACCGCAUUGGUAACUCGAUGUUAUAAAACGUACUUUUGUGUGUAAUUCAAUGAGUGGUAGAACAAACAUAUGAGUCGAAGUUUAUCUGUUCCUUCUUGGAUUAGAAGCUGAUAUCUGGGCCCCUCGAUGAUUUUGUUUUGACCCAUGUACCGGGCCCGGUCAGAACUAAGUUGAUGUGUUCAAUUAAGUUCUAUGUCAAACAAAUCGGAAAUCGGGAAACAAAUGCUGGACAAUAAGCAAGACAAUGUUCCAUGUAUUUGUCCGGCUGAUAUCUAGAACGGAGGAUUAUAUGAUCACUUAUCUUAAAUGGCGUACCAUCAUCUUCUCAGUUCCGAGAGACCUUGAAAGAGCUACGAUUGCCGGUCGGUUCCUGAAGUACUAGAGAUAUAGUUAUUAGACUUAUCCAAGUGGGAGACUGUUGGAUAAGGUGUCUAAGUCCAUAACUAUUUCGGGCUUGUACUUGACCCGACCCGGCAUGGUCCAUUUGGGUUGCAUGGCACCAUGCAAUUGGAUAGACUAAAUGAGAGAAAUAACACUUGGAGAUUAUUAAUAUAUUAUAAGUUCUAAUAUAUUAAUAAUAUUAUUUGAUUAGUUGAUCAAAGAAUUAAUUUGGAAUUAAUUAAGUGAUCAAAGGAUAACUAAUUAAAUAUAUGGGUUGAUUAUGUAAAUCAUCCAUAUCUUGUAUAGUGGGCUAAGAGGCUCCAUGGAUUAUCAAGUUGGGUUCUACCCAUAGGAUGCUCCAUGGAUGCUCCAUGGGAGUUACAAACCCAUGGGUCAUGGAAAUGAAGAGUCAUGACACAUUAGGGUUUACAUGGUGUAACCCUAGAUGUGUCAACACUAUAUAAGAGUCCCAUUCUCCACAAAAUUGGCUACACAAGUUGAACACUAAGAAACUAGAGGGCUUGGCCGAUUUUGAGAAGUAUGUGUUAUCUCAAGAGUCUUUCCAAGAGCAUUUGGUGUUGUGUGAAGCAUUUGAGGCAUCACACUUGGGGUGCUAGGCUCACAAGGUUUCAAGGAACACAAGCAACAACAAGGUAAGUUAUUCUAUCUAUGAUUCAAGUUAAAAUUGUUCCCCAUGUACGCUAGAUAGGAAUAUAACCUUGGAAUUCAACUUUGCAUGAUAAUUAGACAAACAUAGAUCCAAGGUUAUUAGGGUUGCAUGUACACUUAGGAAGUGUUAGAAUGCUCAAAACCCAUCACUUAAUGGAUUAGUCCUUAAUUGGUUAAGUGAGAAACACUUAACCCUAAUCGUCAUUUCAUGUGAAAACCCUAUUUCACUUGGGCCUUGGGUCGGGCCUUUCCUUUGGGCUUUGGUAAUUGGAUUAUUAAUGGGUCAUCCAAGAAUAAUCAUAUGGACAAAAAUAUAUUGAUGGGUUUAGGGUAAGGCCCAUAUGAGGGUGUGGGCCCAAUUUGGAAAAUUGGGCCUUAGAUGGGCCAUACUUUGGGCCUUGAUGACUACAUGAUAUUGGCCCAUUGGAAAUACCAAAUGUUUGGACUGGACUAAGUAGUUUGGCCUUUAAUUAUGACCAUGUAAAGGUUUGGGCCCAGUUUGUAAAAUUGGGCCAUAUGUUAGGCUUUGGCCCAUUACUUGACUUUUGGGCUUUUGUAGUGUGAGUUGGACCUUGGGCAUGGAACCCAGUUAUUAAUUGGGUAUUGUUUGAUGCUGACAGUUCGGGGAUCUAUCAACCAGCAGGUCGAGUUUUAUCUGCGGGACUUCAACAGUGUCAGGUGAGUUAUCCUCACUAUACUAAGGGUUCUAAGGCACCAAGGCUGGCACAUUGGAUUUUAUAUCCUACUAAUUAUUGAUAUGUUGAGUUGAGUUAGUUAUCUAUGCCAGUUGAUAUUCUAGUCGGGUAGAUCUGUAGGAUUACCUGUGAUACUGUAUGAUUACCUGUAUGUGCAUUAGUUAUGUUAUAUUUCGACAUGUUAUGUGGGAUUGGUUGAGGUUGUACUACUUCGUGCAGUAGCCAACAAACCCUAGAGUAUUCCAGAGAUGAGUUGAGGGUCGGGUAAGGCAUGCCAGACUCAUACUAAGGACUCGGGAGCAUUCCAGAUACUAGCUGAGGACUGGGUAGGGCAUGCCAGACUUGUACUGUGGGCUCGGUGGGAAUCCAGACUCACACUGUGGGCCCAAGGGUAAUCCAGUCUGUGAAGCUGUGGACCUGUUGCAUGUUGUUCAGUUUGUUAUGUUAUGAUAUUGUUGAUAUUAUUAUGUGGACUGUAUGUGUAUCGGUAUUGUGGGGGUAACUCAGUAAGCUUUGUGCUUACGGUUUGAGUUUAUUAUUUCAGGUGCUUCAGAUGAUAUGGUAAGGCGAAGGCGUGACCGUAAACAUACUCGUGUUUUGGACUUAUGGUUUUUAGGAUACUCUGAUAUUAAACUAUUUUGAGAACACUUUGUAAUAACUAAUGGCUUUUGGAUAGCUAAAAAAGUUUUAAGUUUGCUUGGAUUUUAUUUGUGUUACCAUUUACCGAAAAGAUGAAGUUAUUUCCUUAUCAAGUGCCGACUUAACUUCCCAAGAUUGAAUUUUGAUAACGGAUUGCCAUCAGACUUUGGCCCAACAGUCAAAAUGGCAAGCAUGUUGAAGGAAGCCAUUAGAGCAGCCAAGAAUGUUGAGACCCAGUUAAAGGAAAGGGCAGAGGUUGGUGAGAAAAGGAAGUUUGAUGGAUCUUCGAGAUCCAACAAGAAAAGUAAAUUCUUGAAGUCUAGUUCGAGAGGAAGAGGAGGCAAAGCAAAAUGGUGUGACAAGUGUAAGAAGAAACAUGUUGGUAAAUGUGGUGAGGAGGUCACUUGUUUUAAAUGUGGAAAGCGUGGGCACUUUGCCAAUGAAUGCACCUUCAAUAAGAAAGUUUGUUAUGGGUGCAACGAAGAAGGGCACAUUUUGAGGGACUGCCCAAAGAAGAAAGAGGCAGCAAGGCCCAAUCUCCCCCAAAAUCCGAAGUUGAGAUCUUUCUAGAUGACACUGGUUUCCGGAAAGGAUGCAACAGAUGUUGCUUCGGGUAAUUUUCUUGUAAAUGGAUUACCUGUCAAUUUAUUGUUUGAUUCCGGAGCAAAUUACUCUGUUAUAUCACAUAAAAUGGUAGAAGACUAGCAUUGCCUGUAGAAAAACUUGAUAAUGCCCUAAUUGUAGAAGUUACUAAUGGCAAAUUCAUACCUAUUAGAGAUUGCAUUAAGAAUAUCGACAUCGACUUGAACGAAAAUGAAUUCGAUGAAGGGUUGUUACGUAUUGAGUUGAAUGGUUUCGACAUCGUACUUGGAAUGGAUUGGCUUAGCGCUAAUGAUGUCGAGAUAAUGUGGAAGAAACCGAUAGUGAAGGUAAACCCGCCUGGAAAAGAGUCAUUUAUGGUGUACGGAGACAAGCACAAAGUAAAUUCUAGAAUAAUUUCCCUAAUGAAAGCCAUAAAAUGUUUAUCUAAAGGAUUCUCCUCAUACUUAGCAUUCGUGAUUGAUGCUAAGAAGGAGAAAUAGGAGAUGCAAAGUAUACCAAUGGUGUGUGAUUAUCCUAAAGUCUUUCCCGAAAAUCUUCCUGGAUUGCUCCCUGAUAGACAAGUGGAGUUUUGAAUAGACUUGUUGCCAUGAAUAACACCAAUAGCAAAAGCACCAUACCGAUUAGUACCAAUGGAGAUGAAGGAGCUUAUGAUGUAACUUUAGGAAUUUUUGGACAAUGGUUUCAUUAGACCAAGUUCAUCACCCUGGGGAGCUCCGGUGUAAUUCGUAAAGAAGAAGGAUGGAAGCAUGAGGAUGUGCAUAGACUAUAGAGAGUUGAAUAAGGCAACGGUAAAGUACAAGUACCCAUUGCCGAGAAUUGAUGACAUGUUUGAUCAGCUGCAAGGUUCGAUCUAUUUCUCAAAGAUCGAUCUUAGGUGAGGAUAUCAUCAGCUAAAGAUGAGAGACCAUGAUAUUUAGAAGACUGCGUUCAGAACAAGAUAUUGACACCAUGAGUUCUUGGUCAUGUCGUUUGGACUAAUCAAUACUCCAACAACAUUCAUGGAUUUAAUGAACAGAUUUUGUAAACCAUUCCUUGAUAAAUCUAUGAUAGUGUUCGUAGAUGACAUUUUGAUUUAUUCAAAAAUCAAGCAGGAGCAUGGCAAACAUCUGCAAGAAGUGUUAGAAGUUCUGAAAAAGGAGAAGCUAUAUGCAAAGUUCUCCAAAUGUGAUUUUUGGAUUCAAGAAGUUCAAUUUUUGGGUCUUGUGGUUAACUAAGAAGGGAUCAUGGUUGACCCAGCUAAGAUUGAAGCUAUAAUAAAGCGGGAACAACCAAAGAGUCCCACGGAGAUCUGAAGCUUUCUGGGAUUAGCUGGAUAUUACCGAAGAUUUAUCCAAGGCUUUUCUCCGAUAGCUACUACAUUGACAGCUUUGACCCAUAAAGGAGCUACUUUUACUUGGAAUGAGAAUCACAAGGAAGCAUUUGAGAAGCUAAAGAAGAAGUUGUGUGAAGCACCGAUUCUUUCUAUACCCAAUGGAUUUGAAGACUUCAUAGCUUAUAGCGAUGCAUAUGGAGUCGGGUUAGGUUGUGUUCUGACCCAAACGGAUAAAGUGAUAGCAUAUGCAUCGAGACAAUUGAAAGUACAUGAAAAGAACUAGCCCACUCAUGAUUUGGAGUUGGUAGCGGUAGUAUUUGACCUAAAGAUAUGGAGGCAUUAUCUUUAUAGCAAAAAGUGAAAACUUUUCACCGAUCAUAAGAGUCUUCAGUAUCUCUUUAAUCAUAAAGAAUUGAACAUGGGACAACGACGCUAGUUAGAGUUGCUUAAGGAUUACAACUGUGAAAUACUUUACCACCCUGGUAAAGCAAAUGUUGUAGCUGAUGCUUUAAGCCGAAAAGUGGAGAAGGAGAUUAAGAAUCGAAGUUGUCUCAACCAUUGUAAAAAUCAUCAAGAAAGCUCAUGAAGAAGCUUUAGAGAAAAAUGACCGAAUAGAAGAAUGUUUCGGCAAAACGUUAAUGUUUGGUACGAAUGGUCAAGGAUUGAAGGUAUUCCAAGAUAGGAUUUGGGUACCUAAGACGGGAGGAAUAAGAGACCUUCUUAUCGAAGAAGCUCACAAGACCAUGUACUCGAUUCAUCCUGGCAACACGAAAAUGUAUAGGGAUCCGAAACCCUACUACUAGUGGCAGACGAUGAAGCUCGAUGUUGCAAAGUAUGUGGCCAAGUGUGUGACAUGUGCGGGGGUUAAGGCACAACAUCAGAAACCGUAUGGGAGUUUAGAAGCUUUACCUGUACCCAUGAUGUGAAACAAAGAGCGGUCAUGACAUGGUUUGGGUAAUCGUUGAUCGGUUCACAAAAAGUGCACAAUUCAUAGCAGCUAAUAAGAAUUAGUUGAUGGACAAGCUAGCAAAUGCUUAUGUGAAGGAGGUAUUAAGACUUCAUGGUGUUCCUUAAACAAUUGUAUCAGAUCAUGAUAGUCGUUUCACAUCAAGGUUUUGUAGGAGUCUACAAGAGGAAUUGGUACGACGUUGUGUCUGAGUACAACCUACUAUACACAGACCGAUGGUCAGAGCGAAUGAAUGAUUCAAACAUUGGAGGACAUGCUAAGAGUGUGUACCCUGGAACUCCAAGGUAACUGGGAUGAACAUUUACCUCUGGUGGAACUAUCUUACAAUAAUAGUUUCCACUCGAGCAUUAAGAUGACACCUUAUCAAGAUUUGUAUGGAUAGAAGUGUCGAACGCCGUCAUGUUGGGUUGAAGCUGGAGAAAAGUAGUUUAUGGGACCCAAGAUAGACCAUCAGAUUUCCGAAAUUCUAAAAGUGAUUAGGGAAAUGAUGUUAGCAGCUCAGGAUCAUCAAAAGAGCUAUGCUGACAAGAAAAGACAACUGAUGACAUUCGAAGUUGGAGAUUCGGUUUUACUUAAAGUCUCGCCAUGGAAGGGACUUAUAAGAUUCGGUAAAAGGGGAAAGUUGAGUCCAGGGUUUAUUUGACUGUUUAAAGUUCUUCAGAUGAUUGGGAACCAAGCUUACAAGCUAAAACUACCCGAAGAACUAGGUGGUAUUCAUAACACUUUCCACGUGUGUUAUUUGAGGAAGUUCACGGGAGAAGUUCUCGACAUAAUUCAAAUUUCCAAGUUAAAUAUGGAUGAAAAGAAGAGGCUAAUUGAAGAACCAGAGGCGAUCGUUGACCGUAAGACUAAGAAAUUGCAACGCAAGAUGGCCGAUUUAGUGCUUUUACGAUGGAAACAUACAAAUGGGCCAAAUCUCACAUGGGAAACGGCGAGUGAUAUGAUAAGUCAUUAUCCGCAUUUAUUUGUCGAUGCAUGAUUUUGGGGACGGAAUCAUCCAAAGGAAGAGAGAAUUGUUACGCCCGUAUUUCUGGGCUAAGCAUUAAAGAUGAUAUAAUAGUCUAGGUAAACCCUAGUAACUCGUUUUUAAGUAAUAAAAACGAAUUAUUUGUGUAUUAUGUGCUUUAUACUUAAUUAUGAUGAUAUAAUGAAUUAAGGAUAAAAAUAAGUAUCAAAAGUAAAAUUUUAGAUAAACCGAUAUCUAUGAAGAAAGUUGUAGUGGUCGUAACAAGGAUUUCAUAGAUAUAAAGAACGCCGAAAUCCGAGUUAUAACGAGGAAGUUAUGACCUAUCAAAAUUUCGCGACAGAACCGGCACGACGUUGUGUGAGGUAAAAAGUGAGUUUACGACAAAGUCCUUUUUAGCCUUAGUGAUCGAAAUGAAAGUCUUAGCAUACGUUAAACCGAGAGCGUGCAUAAAAAGAAUGUCCAAAUUUGACUUCGUAUGAGGAAGUUUUGAAUUUUCUAAGAUUUGGAAUAGCAGUAUGCAGCCCAGAAUUCGAAUUAUAGAUCGAGCAAUUUUUAUCUGACAUAACCUAAACAAUAAUUGAAGAUCUCGUCAAUAGUAGUUCAACGGUAAAAAAAACAAAAACGGACGUCGGAUGAAGAAGUGAUGAAUUUUUAACAGACUUUUCUUGUCCCGACUUGUUAAAAUAAAACUUUAAAAAUAAAUUCAAAAUUAGCCAACCAAGUCUAAACGAAAGUUGUAUAGCAUGGUCUUACCUACGCGUGGAUAUAAAGAGCGUCGAAAAUGGAGCUCGUAUGCGAAACUUAUGAAUUUUUGAAGUUCGGGGCACAAACUUCGAGGCUUGAGGAACGCCCAGUAUACGAAGGGGUACGCUAAGCGUAUCGAGGUACGCCCAUGGUACGAGAUCUGCACGCCCAACGGUCUCAUUUUCCUCGGUCCAGAAGUGGCCACGACAUACCCUUCGCAUGCUUGACACGUCGAUGACACGUCCGACGUACCCCCUCUCCCCCGCACAACGUAUGAAGGUACACUUAGCAUAUAGCAGUACGCCCUGCGUACCAAGUUACGCCCAGUGUAACCUGAAGCUUCGGCCACCUAUAAAAAGGGUGUGAGGUUGCUCGAAAUUGGUUUACAUAAUUUUCACUCUUCCACCCUAUACUUUCUUUAAAGUCACACUAAAACCCCCCGAAGCCUGGGGUACCUUCCUAACACUAGAAGAAAGCCCUGGAGAGCCUGAAGUCUCCGAGAAAAAAGGGUUUUUUGAUUCGAAACUCUGCCCGCGCAGUGCCCGGUUUUUUAGCAAACCUCCUGGUUUCAUCGAAAAAUAUUGUUUUAAGGAACAAAGUGAUGUCCAAUCACCAUCUUAUCAAGUGAGUGUAUAGCCACUUUUAUCUUACACAUAGAUAUGAAGUAUUUUAUAUAAAAUAUGUGCUAUGUGUAUAUAUAUUGUUUAUUUAUUUGAGAUGGAAUUUUGAAUGACUGUUUUAUGCAUGUUUAGAAUGAUUUAAAAUGUAUAUGUAUUUUUAUCUACAAAUAUGUUGUGUAAACAUGGGUAGAUGAAAUAGUUGAUGUGUGAUGAAAUAAGAUGAUGAGAGGCCAUGAAGUUGUUUAUGUUCCAGUCAUCUAGCGGAGUAUAGAUGACGCCCACAGACUUUUCUAGAUUGUCCAGUUGAACGCUAGCAGGCUUGCAACAUGUAGGUGUUUGUGAACGAUGUGUUCACCGGUGUACUCCAUCCCCCUUAUGGUUUCCUUACAGACAUAUAUGGCUGAGGAAUCCCCUUAGCAAUAGUGUCCAUCCCGAUGAUGAUCCUUAGGCUAGGUCCCUCAUGAUAGGUGUUUAGGGACGUAAAGUGAGAAUAAUUGGAAUAUGUAAUCACGGUUAUUGGUGGUUGAUGAAAUUAAUAAAUUUAUUGUUGGUUGAUGAAAUUAAUAAAUUUAUUUAUUAUGGGUUGAAAAUCCUAUGUCCUCACCAAGCUCCCAAGCCUAACCCACUCAACCUUCUUUAUUACAGGUAGUGGAACAAGAACAUAGUUGGAUGACUUGACGAGGGAUUUUGGAUUAUAGGCCAGUAUAUGUAAAUAUAUGUUGUAAGGCCCAUAUUGUACUGUUUAUGCUUUUGAUCUGUAUCGAUGUUGACAUCCCAAGUUUGUAAUGAAAUGAAAAUACAUUUCUUUAAGAAAUUUUUUGAUAAAUGUUAUCAUAUUUUGUUUUGGGAACAAAUUCCGCAACAAUUUUCUUUGAAAGAUUACUCUGAUUUUAUUAUAAAAGGAUAAACUAAAUCGCUCUUUUAUGGCCGUGAAAAUGGGGAUGUCAAAUGUUCAACUAUUGAACAAUUGCACUUUCGUCCAUGCACUUUCAAUUAAUUCUUUUAAUCCCAAAAUUAAUUCCAAUUAAUUUUUGAUUAAAUAUUAAUUAAAUAAUAUGAUUUCUAAUUAAUAUAAUAUUUUUAUAAUACAUUAAUAAAUCAUUUAUUUCAAUUAACUAAUCAAAUAAUAAAUCAACCACACUCCAAAAGUCAUCCUGUCUAGUUGCUAGUUAUGAUGGCAAACCCAAAAGGACUGUGCAACUAUUAAUACCAGUAUAUACCAAUUAUAGUUGUGGGUUUAGAAACCUAAUCCAACAAAGACUUCCCAAACUAAAAUCCAGUAUUCAUAUAAAAACCCCGAAUGACACUUUACCGAUAUAUCCCUUGGUUCAAAAACACAAACCGAACUACCAGAUCAUCUAAGUUACAUUACCCACACCCAAAUGGGUCUAAAUUUCUCUCUCUCUCUCUCUCUCUCUCUCUCUCUCCCAAAGGCCUAAAGGCCCUAAGCCUGAUGAUAACCGAUCUUCAGGUCACCGCCCCGCAUAAGGAAAACAAUUCGGAACAGAGCGUUACAUUUAUAGUAACGUUGAUUGGUAAUUGAAAUAAUUACUAAAAAGUAACUAGAGAGAGAAAAUCGAAUACAUGUAUUCCGGCUUUAACCAACUCUCACCUUUUGAAAGAAGCCAAGUAAUCUUAUCACAUGUUGUCACUAUUUAUCCUAAUUAUGUAUUCACUAUUGUCUUUCUGGUAUCACGUCAAAAGAUUCUAAAACUAAAAAUAAAUUAAGAUCAUUUGACUUUAUUUUUAUAAAGUGUAAAUGAGUUUUGCACAAUUAAGGAUAAAUGAAGUUGAAGAUGGUGUUUGUAUACAUAGGUAAAUGAAGAUGGUGUCCAAUGAAAACAAUCUCUCUAUCCAAGGCCAAAGCAAAGAUUAAUUAUCUCAUCUCUAAAGCUCAAAAGUGAUCCAUAUAACUAAGUCAUCAUUCCAAUUAGAAAUUAUUUCUUACUUGCAUAUAAGAGCUUGAUGUUCAAUGAUAUACUUCAAAACUACACGCAUAAACUGGAAGCUACUCUUUACCCACAGUUUCCGAGUUUUCCUGACCAAUUCCACUAAUGUAACCACACUUUAGUAAUCAUUUUCAACCAACGAAAAAAUAAGCGAACAUGUAGGAACAACCUUGUCUUUUACCAACAUAGAGAAUUUUUUGUUUAUAAAGUUUGAGAGCUUAAUAUAUGAAUGUUAAUAAAGGAAUUUAACACAUUACUGCUAAUUUCAAAUUUAUUUUCUUUAAAAACUUCUAAUUAGCCUCUAAAUUUAAUAGUUCAAAUAAAUAUAACAUAGAAAAUUGAAACCCCACCCAAAAUCGCCCUUAGAGUUAAUUUACCUUCUAUGACUUCACAACUUUGGCGUGUCCCUUGUUGCUUCCUUUCUGCAUUAAACCUUAAAAUUGAAAGUGCAUCGGGAAAAUUAGAGUCAUCCAUCAUCUGCAAAUUAAAAAGGAUAGACACAAAUGAGAAUGUAAGUAAAACUUCUUAUCAUUUCCUCAUAAUCGAAGCUUCGAAAAGAACCAAAGUUUUUUCUAGGUCUUGUGCAAUACUCUAUGCAAACGCUAGUGAAAAUCCAAUAACUUCUCGUGAUUUAUAUGUGGAGAAGAUGGAGCAGGAGAAAGUGAAUCAAUGAAUAUAAUUUUUGAAAUCGAAAAUGUAAAUAUAAAAUCACCUGGAUUGAUACCAAAUUCCUCAAAGUCAUCAUCAUCUCCAAACACAUCAAUCUUACCUUCUUCAGCCUCUGCAAUAUGUAAAACACUACUUAAGUAAGCCCAAAUAUUAAACACAAUUUCAAUAAUAAAUAUCUUCCAUGUAUACACAUCACACAAAUUUAUUAUUGAAAUUGUGAUUAAUAUAAGGGCUUACUUAAAUUGUGUUUUACAAAUUGCAUGGGAUGAACAAGGUAAGAUUGAUGUGUUUGGAUAUGACGAUGUCUUUGAGGAAUUUGAUAUCAAUCCAGGUGAUUUUAUCUUUACAUUUUCGAUUUCAAAAAUUAUAUUCAUUGAUUCACUUUCUCCCGCUCCAUAUUCCAUGUAUACACAUCACACAAUUUUUUAGCCAAAAGUUGUUCUUCUUGGAGCCUUCUGGCUCUCCGGGCCUCGCUACUAACUCCUAAGAAGGGCUAGAUAAAAGCCUUGAGCUUUGGGGAGGUUUGGCAGAGAAGUUGAGAGAAGGUGUGAGGAAAUAAGGUGAUUUACGUCUCUAUUUAUAGGUAGCGACGUGAUCUACAACUUUCGUUUAGACUCGUUCGGCUAAUUUUGACUUUAUUUUUAAAGUUAUAUUUUAACAGGCUUAGACAAUUAAAGUUCGUCAAAAAUUCAUAACUUUGACAUCCGACGUCCGGUCUAUAUUCUGCUAUGCUAAAUUUUAUAAAAAUCAUAACUUCCUCAAACGAAGUCAGAUUUGGACAUUAUUUUUAUGUACGUUCUCGGUUUAACAUAUAAUAUGAAUUUCAUUUAGACCGCCAUGGCUAAAAGGUAUUUUGUUAAAAAUUCACCUUUUUACGAUACGCGACAUUGUGUCGAUCUUGUCGCAAAACUUCGACGGGUCAUAACUUUUUCAUUAUAAGUCGGAUUUCAACGUUCUUUAUAUGUAUCGAAUCCUUGUGAAAUAUACUAUAACUUUGGUUAAGAUUAUUUAUUCCAAAUAAUCUUCAAUCAAAAAGUCAUUUUUAACGCUUAUUACCUUUAAAUUGACUAGACCGAAUUUGCGGACGUCACAAUUAUCUCCCGCAUAGGAUGAUUACGUCCUGGAAUCAUCAACAACACAUGGCUUGUUUAAUGACUCCAUAUACUAUAUUUCCAUUCUAGGUAAUAACUAAAUCUUAUGUCCUUUCAAAUAAGUAUCUAACUCUUGGACUUCUUGACUGUUGGCGGUGCUCAAUCUUGCACCCGAUCUUCAUACUAUGUUGGACUUUCAAUCGUAACAUUUGAGUUACAAACUUGAUCCUUAUUGGAGACUUCUUCACCUUCUUAACAAACUUAACUUAAGAUAAGUUAUUAACAUCGAUUAAUGCGACAGACCGAUGUGUUAUGUUCUAAUGACCUCUCAUUGUAUGAUGCAACGCUUAGACUCAGGUCUUUUUGAGUCAGAUUCUAGAUUGGAAGAUACCUUCCUUCAUGUUCUAAUGUGAUAUAAUCACGUUAUAGUAUGUAGCACUUCUAGCUACAAGCUUCUUACUUUAACAACGAUCGAAAUACUUCUAUUGAUUGCUUCGAUUAUCUUUCACUUUAAUCUUUUGGCUUAAGUUAAAUGCUACAUCGAACUUGGUUCUCUGAAUCACGUAGAAUACAUAUCUUAGUCCGACUCGAUAUGAUAUGACCAUUAUGGUUUAAAUAAUAAUCAUGUUCUUAGUCAUUACCGAAACGCUUUUAACGACAAAUAUGAAUAAAAAGAAUCAAUUACUAGCACCUUGGUAACCUUGUGGCUUUCCCUAAUCCAAGUACAAGUUAAAUUCUUUCUUGGUCGUGCAUUCGUUGGCGUAGUGACCAAUAUUACCGUAUUUGAAGUAGGUCACCUCUUUAGAGCAUAAUGUGCUUCCUUCUACACUUGUCAUACCACUUUUCUUCAUUGUUAUCACCAUACCUCUUGUUAUUAAGGUCAAACUUCAGGAACCUAUUUUUCUUUUUGGAUCUUUAAGACACCUCACAUUUCCUCUUCUCGCCAACUUCAACCUUAUUGGUGGUUCUGCCUUUGAUCAUUUCUUCAACAGACUUAGCAGCCCAAAUGGCCGCCUCAAGAGUAUGUGCCUAGUAUAUUGGCACAAGGUACUUCCAUGGUAGUCCUUUAGCAUACUUAUCGAUUUUUGUUAGCUCUCCAAGGACGAUGCGCAAAGCAAACUCCAUCUUGUCUGUGAAGGCAUUAGUAUACUCGUCAAUAGAUAUGUUCCCCUUCUUCAACGUAAGAAAUUUGUUUUCUAACUGUAGCAGGUUUUGGGUUAAGCAUAACUUACAUCUAAAGUGUACCAAGAAUUCUUCCCAUAUCAGUUGUAGUGACUCAUUGGGGCUUAUGAUUUUUCCCAAUGUGUUCCACCAACGAACAACAUCUACCCCUAAACUAACAUAUAGCAUAAGUGGUUUGUAGCUUGCCCUUGCAACCACAUGUUAUGAAAGCUAGCUCCGUUUCAUAGAUUCAGUUAUUGGAUCUUCUUUCCCAGUAAAAGUUUAUGGUUUUCAAGUCAUACAGUCUUUAUACUUGCAUCUGCUCCUUUCAAUUCCUUCAUUUUGGUUAGUUCUUCUAACCACUUGUGGUUCGGCUUCACUAACGGUUCUAUUAUAACUUCCUUCUUCUGACUGUUCGAUGUUCAGUUCAAGCUGCUCAACAAGAACACAUUUUCCUCACCUCUUCCCUUUGUUCGGCCAUCAUUGCCCAAAUCAUUUCUUAGACUCCUGCCAUCGUGAUUGGCUCGGGUGCAGCUGCUACCUCUAGUGCACACUCAAUCACAUGUGGUUCAGGCUAUUGAUUUCCAUUAGCAUUUCCUAAUCCGUUGCGAAUUCUCACCAUUUCGAUCUAUACACUCUAGUAGAUGUUUAGUAUGUAGCAACGAGAAUUAAGAUAGGGAAAUAUUUAUUUACCACAUGCGUAUAAAUCUCCUUAUCACUCCGAAAUGUUACAUGUCCUGUCUAAUACCGUAAUUAAAUAUUUAGAAAUCUGAACAUAUAAAUUUUCCAAAUUCGGUCAGCAAGAGACCAUAGAUCCACUCAAAUAAUGGCAUCAUAAAGCAUCAUAAAUGUAGCACCUAAUUCCCGGUAUGCAUUUAAUUUAAACAUUUCUGAAUUUUCUCUGGGACUCGACGAGUUGGUGGCCCAACUCGUCGAGUAGGGUCGUGAUCCGCGGGCAUUUUAAGUGACCUACUCGGUGAGUUGGGAGACUGACUCGGCGAUUAGGUGUUGUAUGAGGGAAACCCUAAAUCUGAGGGUUUGCACCCUAUUUAAACGACUUAACUCAGCCUCCCUCAUCCCUAUCUCUCCCAAAAAGCUGUAUAUCAAAACCCUAGCCAUUUUGUGUUAUCUAAGGCUAUUUUAGUGCUUUUGGGUGGUUUGUGAAGCUUGAAAGGAAGGAAGAAGCUUGAGAAUUCAAGUUGGGGCUUGUAGAUCCAGAGAUCUUAUUCCAUCUUCAGCUCAAGCAAGGUAAAUGCCCCCUGUUUUGGUCUUCCAUUUGGUUGUUCAUCUUUAGGGCUUAGAUUUUGGGUGCAUUUAGGGCUUCCUAAUCCAUUUUUGGAUUUCUGAAGAGAUUCAUGGGGUUCUACUUUCAUAUCUGUGUCAUUGGAUGGGUCUCAUGGCAUAAAGGUGCCAACUUUAUGGCCAUCAGAGCCCCAUGUACAUUGUAGAGUACCUUUUAUGGAUUUUUAAGCCAAAAACAUCAUGCAUGUGCACCAAGUUUGGAACUUUACGUAUAAAAUGAACAUUAGGAGGCCAAAUCUAUGGUUUUGAUGUGUUGAGACCAACUUAAAUCAGCUAUAUAGUAAUGGUCAAGGAUGUACUUGCCGAGUUGUUCUUGGGACUCGACGAGUCGAAUUGUAAUGACCACCAAAUCCAUUCUGCGAAUGGACCAGCUGUUUGGGAGGGAAGUCCCGUAGAUGUUUAGAUGCGAAAAAGAACUUAAGAAUCAUGGGACUCAACGAGUGUAUGAAUAGACUCGGCGAGUCCAAGGCAAUCUCCCAACCUUUGAAGAUUGACUCCACGAGUUGUUCAUACAACUCGGCGAGUCGUAGACUAGACAUGUUCUUAUGAGGGAGAUGAACUCGCUGAGUUCAAGGAAGAACUCGGCGAGUCGGAUGAAGACGGUCCCGAUAGUUUGAUGGAAGAAGAACUCAUCGAGUUCUUGCUAGACUCGACGAGCGGAGUCGAGGUUGUAUCAGAUUAGUGGAGUGUGGACUCGGCGAGUUAGGUCAACUGGUUGUUGACUUUGACCAAGUUUGACUUUGUCUGGUUAUGGUAUUGACCCUAUUUAGGGUCAUAUGUUAUGUUUGAUGACUUGAGAAUUUUCUUAUAGGGAUUGAGGAGUCGAUGGGAGCCGCCUUCACGCCGAGGACAGUUCAGACGCUACACGACAUCAAGGUGAGUUACCUUCCAGUAGAGGUGGGUCUAAGGCCACAAUGCCGACCCACCAACAGGGGUAUUUAGUUGAUAAUUAUCUUGGUUUGGUUAUGUGACUUGGUCAUUAGAUAUGCUUGCGUAAUAUGAAAGUUGUGUUAGUGGUAGUGAUAGGGAAUAGUCUUUCCCUGGCAUAGCUCGUUAGGACCAAUAGGUAGGUUGGUACCCCGAUAUGCCUGAAUGUAUGUUUAUAUCUUGCUAUUGUAUGCUAGUGGUAGGGGUGAUAUAGUCCCUAGUUACCGGUUGAAAGAUACCGAUGGUAGUUACCGGUUCAAAGAUACUGAUGACGGUUACCGGUUGAAAGAUAUCGAUGGCGGUUACCGGUUGAAAGAUACCGAUGAUAGUUACCGGUUGAAAGAUACCGAUGGUAGUUACCAGUUGAAAGAUGCCUAUGAUAUUAUAUGGUAUGCAGUAUGAUGGGGGAACUCACUAAGCUUUGUGCUUACAGUUUUUGGUGGUGGUUUCAGGUACCUCUUCGUCGAAGGGGAAGGAGCCGACGGUGUAGCAGCGCACCACACACAUGAUUUCCACAUGGAAUUUUCUGGGAUUGUACUAUGAUUUUUAUUACUUUUGAUGAUAUGGUUUUCAGAAACAUUGUUAUGUCUUUAUGUUUGAUAUGACAUUCACAGUGAUUGGUAAACUAUGUUAUGAAUUGCUUAAUUAAAAAUGAAAUUUUUUGCCUCGAUUUUUGGGAUGUUACGAGUUGGAAUCAGAGCUCUGGUUUGAGGGAUUCGGACACACCCUCAAGGGUGUCUGGACUCAAACCGAGGGACUAAAAGAUUUUUUUUAAGGAAAAAAGUUUCUAAAAUUUUAAGUUAAGAAAUUUUGAGAACAGACAAGGUGUGUGAUGCGUGCGACCGGCCGAGCUCAAGUAAGUUUUCCCCAAGAUACCAAUACUUUUUAUGUUAUGUGUAUGGUUCUAGAUUCUGAGAACUGCAUGCUAAAUUAGGGCUAGGGAUCUAGAAGGAUGCCUUGUAUGGCUGAUAUAUGAUUCUGAGAACUGCAUGCUAGAGUAGGGCUAAGGAUCUUGACGAUGCCUUGAAUGUCUGAUGUAUGAGUUGUAUGCUAGCACUGUUUAGACAGCAGUAGGAUAGCCUGAUUAGGUUAUGCCUGAUCUGGUUACUCGAUGCACGAAUGUUUCUUACUUUGUGCUUAAGGGGUCCUGUCUAACUUUAACUAACUAGUGAACGGAUAUGUAACAGUAUUCACAAGCUAGUUAGGGAAGGGAGGUAGGGACUCCUAGUGCAGCUGAUGGUGGAGAGUAGGUCGGAGAGUGCCCUAGGAAAGCCUAGGACGAGAUUAGUAGGAAAGGGUAUCGGUAAAAGGACUUGGUGAAGUUGAUGCAAUCCUUGAGGAAAGUAUGGAUAUAUGUGGAAGGUAGUAUGGGCCUGUACUACUGGAAGCAGAGGAUCCAUACUCGAGUCAAGGAGGGUCGAGAUGGAACCAGGAAACUUGGAGAGUGCGUGAGACCUCUCGAGGGGUAUGUAUGAUCCUGACUUUUAUGUGUUUAUUUUCAGUAUUGCGAUUACACGACAUGGAGCAGGAGGAUCAGGUUCAGGAUCAGGAUCAGGCUCGGGUGUAGGAUCCGGGCAGGUUGAUGACGGGCUACGCGAGUUCAUCGCGUCUGAGAUCAUGAGAGGUAUCCUUGAUGCGACCCCCGUCAUUUUUGGGUAGAUCAAGGUGGGGAUUAUUGAGCUGAUGGAGGAUUGCCUUCGGGCAUUCAGGAGUGAUUUGGCGUCUAGCUAGACGGGUACGUGCACACUAUCCUUCAAGGACUUUCUAGGGAGAGGUGCGCCGGAUUUUCACGGGGUGAAGGACCCCAUUGCUGCUAGGAGAUGGAUUGCAUACAUUUAGUCUGUGCAGUUGGCGAGCUUCUGCCCGGAAGGGUAGAAGGUCCGUUUUGUGGCGGGUUGUUUGAGGGAUCGAGCCAGGGAUUGGUGGGAGUUAGUUGGUGAUUGGUUAUGAGCCCCAGCCAUCGAAGCUAUGACUUGGUCAGAUUUCGUGACCAGAUUCAGGGUUGAGUUUGCACUAGCUGUGGAGCUUCAGCAGCUGGGCAGAGAGUUUUUGGAUAUGAGACAGACUACAGAGACUGUGGCGGAGAUCACCGCCAAGUUCCGAGAGAGAGAGCAUUGUUGGUACCCCAGUAUGUAGGGGAUGAGGAGAUACGGAAGACCCGCUAUCAUGAUAUGUUGAGAGUCGACAUUCCGGAGCAUGUCAGCUAUUUGGCUUGCCCGUCCCUGGAGUCCAUGAUUGCCAGGGCACGGGAGAGGGAGAUUGAUUUAGAGAACCUCGGGAAGAGGAAGUCAGAGACUACGCAGGUUGCAGGGGUUUUAAGGAAGAAACCCAAGGGAAUCGACGUGAGGUCGAAGGGCCAACAGGGGCGGGACCGCUGUGGAAAGUGCGGUCGGUCACACGAGGGAGUUCGCUGCACUAGGCCAACUUUCGACUACUAUAAGUGCAGCUAGAUAGGACAUUUUGGAAGGGAUUGUACUACCCCUGCUCCCACGGUUCAGAUAUCAGACCUAAUUUGCUUUCAUUGCAAUCAGAGGGGCCAUAAAAAGGCCAACUACCCUAGAUCAACAGCAGCGGCAGCAGCAGCGCCAACGGUGGCGCCGACCCCAGCGUCGGCACGGGUGACGGAUGGCCGGAAGGCUAAGGUAGAGGCUCCAUUGGUGCGGACCUGAGCCGUUCAGUUGACAGUCGAGGAGUCACAUGUUGCACCCGAUGUGGUGACGGGUACGAUUUCUUUCUUAUGUCUUUACGUUAUGUCGUUGUGAUUUUGAUAUGUUAUGUAUGUGCUUUGUUUAGGAUCGUUCCAUGUGAACGGUAUCCCAGUUCAGGUAUUGUUUGAUUCGGGUGCUACCCGAUUGUUUGUAUCUCUUGCGCUUAACAACAAGUUUCCUGAAUCUUCGGGCAUGCUGCAUUGCCCUUUGGAGGUCGGGAUUGCAGACGACCGGUCAGUGCGAGCAUCAAACGUCUACCAGAACUGUGUUUUGAGACUGUUUGAAGAGCGUUACCUGGUAGACUUGGUUCCUAUACCUUUUCAGGCGAACAAGGUUAUUAUUGGUAUGGAUUGGCUAAGCCCCAAUGGGACUGUGAUCAACUGCACGUAGCAGUUGGUGCGGAUGAGGACCCCAAGUGGGGUAGAGCUAGUGAUUCAAGGUGAGAGGCCACAGCGAGGACCAACUUUCUAUUCAGCAGCGAGACCUAGGCGCUAGCUUCAGCAGGGUUGCGCAGGAUUUGUCGCCUAUGUUAUGGAUACCCGGGAAACAGGUAAGGCGACGGUAGGCAAUGUGUCCGUGUUACGAGAGUUUGCAGAUGCAAUCCCCAAGGAGUUGCAUGGGAUACCUUCGGAGAGGAAGGUAGGGUUCAGGAUCGACCUAGUACCUGGUGCGGCUCCGAUAGCCAAGGCGCCGUUUAGGUUGACUCCUCUUGAGAUGCAAGAGUCGUGUACGUAGCUGCAGGAGCUGUUAGACAAAGGAUUCAUUAGACUGUGCAGUUCACCCGGGGGAGCCCCGAUUCUGUUUGUGAAGAAGAAGGACGGGUCACAUCGGAUGUGUAUUGACUAUCAGGAGUUGAAGAAGGUAAUGGUGAAGAACCGUUACCCACUCCCGGGGAUUGAUGACCUCUUUGACCAGCUUCUGGGAGCAUCUUGGUUCUCCAAGAUUAAUCUACGUUUAGGAUAUCAUCAGAUGAGGGUCAGAGAGGAAGAUGUGUAUAAGACUACAUUCUGGACACGCUAUAGCCACUAUGAGUUCGUGGUGAUGCCUUUCGGGCUCACUAAUGCUCUUGCCACGUUGAUGGACCUCAUGAACCACGUGUGCAGACCGAUGUUGGAUCGGUCUGUGAUGGUUUUCAUCGGACAUCUUGGUUUAUUCCAAGACUCGAGAAUUGCAUGAGGAGCAUUUGCGAGAGGUUUUGGAUACAUUAAGGAUAGAGAACUUGUAUGCUAAGUUCUCCAAGUGCGAUUUCUGGUUGCGCCAGGUGCAGUUUCUUGGGCACGUUGUCAACCAGAACGGGAUUUCGGUUGACCCGGACAAGGUAGAGGCCGAGAUGAGGUGGGAGGUUCCGAGGUCUCCAUCUAAGAUUUGGAGCUUCUUAGGAUUGGCAGGCUACUAUCGAAGGUUCAUUUAAGACUUCUCCAAGAUAGUCAUGCCCCUGACCCGGUUGACGAGGAAAGUCGUGGUCUUUUGCUGGGGGCUUGAGCAGCAGGCCGCAUUUGAUACAUUGAGACAGAGAUUGUGCGAAGCGCCAAUCAUAGCCCUGCCAUAGGGCAUGGAGGACUUGUGGUAUACUGAGAUACGUCCAUCUUAUGCUUAGGUGUUGUAUUGAUGUAGAGGGGGCAUGUUAUAGCUUAUGCUUCGAGGCAGCUGAAGCCUCACGAGGCGAAUUACCCGACGCAUGAUUUGGAGCUAGGGGUUGUUGUUUUGCCCUCAAGAUUUGGUGCCAUUACCUCUAUGGGGUUUGUUGUACCAUUUACACGAACCACAAGAGCCUGAGGUAUCUAAUGGACCAGCCAAAUCUAAAUAUGAGGCAACGUCGGUGGGUUGAUGUGGUAAAGGAUUAUGAUUGCGAGAUCCUCUACCACCCGGGGAAGGCCAAUGUCAUGGGCGAUGCGCUUAGCUGCAAGGCAGCGCUGAUUAGGGAAAUUUGUCUAAGGAUGAAAGUUGUAACUCCGUUGUUGGAGCAGAUUCGAGAGGCCCAGCAAGAGUCCAUGAAGGAGGAACAUCGAAGAGUGAGAGAAUUGUGGAUCAGCUUUCCUCAUUCGACUAUGAUAGUCAUGGAUUGUUGACUCUUCACCGUAGGGUGAGGGUCCCAUAUCAUGGGGGUGUGCGCUAGGUACUGAUGGCAGAGGCGCACAAAUCUAGGUUCUCCAUCCAUCCCGGGGUAACGAAGAUGUAUAGGAAUCUUCGUCUCGGUUAUUGGUAGCCCUGUAUGAAGAGGGGCGUAGCUUGGUUCGUGGAAAGGUGCCUAACCAGCAGGAAGGUCAAGGCUAAGCACUAGAGACCUCAUGGGAAGGUCCAACCAUUGGACAUCCCGCUGUGGAAGUGGGAGGAUAUUACUAUGGACUUCAUCACAAAGCUUCCUAGGACCGUACGAUGGGUGGAUUCGAUCUGGGUCAUCGUUGAUCGAAUGACCAAGAGCACACAUUUUAUUCUAAUUCAAGAGAAUAUUUCGGCCAAAAAGUUGGCCAACAUCUACAUCCGGGAGGUAGUGGAGCGGCACGGGGUGCCAAUUUCAGUGAUUUCACACAGGGACGUGCGGUUCACUUCCAGGUUUUGGAAGAAGUUUUAUGGAGAGUUGGGUACUCGACUGCAUUUUAGCACCGCCUUUCAUCCGCAGAUGGAUGGUCAGAGCGAGCGGAUCAUCCAAACUCUGGAGGAUAUGCUGUGGGCAUGUAUUUUAGACUUCGGAGGUAGUUGGGAUACUUACCUUCCGUUGGCUGAGUUCUCCUAUAAAAAUAUUUAUCAUGCGAGUAUCGACCAUCCUCCCUUCGAAAAUGUUGUAUGGGAGGAAGUGCAGGACCCAGAUAUGCUGGGGAGAUGUUGGGUAAAGAGUCAUGGGGAGUACCAAAGUAGUACUCAAUACUACGGAGAAGAUCCAGCAGGUUUGGAGCAGGCUUCAGACUGCUCAGAGUCGGCAGAAAAGCUAUGCCGACAAGCGACGGUCGGAUCUGGAGUUCUAGGUCGGGGAUAUGGUACUCCUGAAGCUGUCACCAUUGAAGGGCGUCAUUCGAUUCAGGAAGCAGGGAAAGCUGGGCCCCAGGUAUAUUGGACCCUUCAGGGUUAUAGCCCGGGUGGGAAAGGUGGCAUAUAGGCUAGAUCUGUCAGCCAAACUCAGUCAGAUUCAUAGCUCCUUCACGUCUCCCAGUUAUAGAAAUGUUUGGUGGACAAUUUACCAGUGGUGCCUUUAGAGGAUAUUCGGGUUGAUGACAGUCUGAACUACAUCGAGCGGCCAGUGGAAACCCUUGACCGGAAGUCAAGGGAUCUGAGGAACAAGAGGGUGGAACUGGUAAAGGUCCAGUGGCAGCACCGCAAGGGCUCAGAAUGGACCUGGGAGCCGGAGGACGAGAUGAGGAAGCACUACCCCGAGCUUUUUCAGGAUCAAGUAGCAGACUUCGAGGAUGAAGUCUAGAAUAAGUGGGGGAGAUUUGUAGCACCUGAUUCCCGGUACACAUUUAAUUUAAACGUUUCUGUAUUUUCUCUGGGACUCGACGAGUUGGUGGCCCAACUCGUUGAGUAGGGUCGUGAUCCGUGAGCAUUUUAGGUGACCUACUCGACGAGUCUGGAGACUGACUCGGCGAGUAGGUGUUGUAUGAGGGAAACACUAAAUCUGAGGGUUUGCACCCUAUUUAAACGACUUAACUCAGCCUCCCUCAUCCCUAUCUCUCCCAAAAAGUUGUAUAUCAAAACCCUAGCCCUUUUGUGUGAUCUAAGGCCAUUUUAGUGCUUUUGGGUGGUUUGUGAAGCUUGAAAGGAAGGAAGAAGCUUGAGAAUUCAAGUUGGGGCUUGUAGAUCCAGAGAUCUUAUUCCAUCUUCAGCUCUCGCAAGGUAAAUGCCCCCUGUUUUUNCGCCUCAUGAGGCUUCAGCUGCCUCGAUGCAUAAGCUAUCACAUGCCUCGAUGCAUAAGCUAUCACAUGGACCCCNCCAUUUGGUUGUUCAUCUUUAGGGCUUAGAUUUUGGGUGCAUUUAGGGCUUCCUAAACCAUUUUUGGAUUUGUGAAGUGAUUCAUGGGGCUCUACUUUCAUAUCUGAGUCAUUGGAGGGGUCUCAUGGCAUAAGGGUGCCAACUUUAUGGCCAUGAGAGCCCCAUGUACAUUGUAGAGCACCUUUUAUGGAUUUUUAAGCCAAAAACAUCGUUCAUCUUUAGGGCUUAGAUUUUGGGUGCAUUUAGGGCUUCCUAAACCAUUUUUGGAUUUGUGAAGUGAUUCAUGGGGCUCUACUUUCAUAUCUGAGUCAUUGGAGGGGUCUCAUGGCAUAAGGGUGCCAACUUUAUGGCCAUGAGAGCCCCAUGUACAUUGUAGAGCACCUUUUAUGGAUUUUUAAGCCAAAAACAUCGUGCAUGUGCACCAAGUUUGGAACUUUACGUAUAAAAUGGACAUUAGGAGGCCAAAUCUAUGGUAUUGAUGUGUUAAGACCCACUUAAAUCAGUUGUAUAGUAAUGGUCAAGGAUGUAAUUGUCGAGUUGUUCUUGGGACUCGAUGAGUCGAAUUGUAAUGACCACCAAAUCCAUUCUGCGAAUGGACCAGUUGUUAGUGAGGGAAGUCCCAUAGAUGUUUAGAUGCGAAAAGGACCUGAGAAUCAUGGGACUCGACGAGUGUAUGAACACACUCGGUGAGUCCAAGGCAAUCUCCCAACCACUGAAGAUUGACUCGACGAGUUGUUCAUACAACUCGACGAGUCGUAGACUGGACAUGUUCUUAUGAGGGAGAUGAACUCGCCGAGUUCAAGGAAGAACUCGGAGAGUCGGAUAAAGAUGGUCCCAAUAGUUUGAAGGAAGAAGAACCCGUCGAGUUCUUACUAUACUCGACGAGCGGAGUCGAGGUUGUAUCGGAUUAGUGGAGUAUGGACUCGGCGAGUUGGUGGGCCAACUCGGCGAGUCAGGUCAACUAGAUGUUGACUUUGACCAAGGUUGACUUUUUCUGGUUAUGGUAUUGACCCUGUUUAGGCUCAUAUGUUUUGUUUGAUGACUUGAGGAUUGUCGUGUAUGGAUUGAGGAGUCAAUGGGAGCCGACCUUCACGCCGAGGACAGUACAGAUGCUACACAACAUCUAGGUGAGUUACCUUCCAGUAGGGGUGGGUCUAAGGCCACAAUACCGACCCACCAAUAGGGGUAUUUAGUUGAUAAUUAUCUUGGUUUGGUUAUGUGACUUGGUCAUGAUAUAUGCUUGCAUAAUAUGAAAGUUGUGUUAGUGGUAGUGACAGGGAAUAGUCUUUCCCCUGGCAUAGCUCGUUAGUGUUGGAUAAGGUGUCUAAGUCCAUAACUAUUUCUGGUAUGUACUUGACCUGACCCGGCAUGGUCCAUUUGGUUGCAUGGCACCAUGCAAUUGGAUAGACUGAAUGAGAGAAAUAACACUUGGAGAUUAUUAAUAUAUUAUAAGUUCUAAUAUAUUAAUAAUAUUAUUUGAUUAGUUUGAUCAAUAAUUAAUUCAGAAUUAAUUAAGUGGUCAAAAGAGAACUAAUUAAAUAUAUGGGUUGAUUAUGUAAAUCAUCCAUAUCUUGUAUAGUGGGCUAAGAGGCUCCAUGGAUUAUCAAGUUGGGUUCUACCCAUAGGAUGCUCCAUGGGAGUCACAAACCCAUGGGUCAUGGAAAUGAAGAGUCAUGACACAUUAGGGUUUACAUGGUUUAACCCUAGAUGUGUCAACACUAUAUAAGAAUCAUAUUCUCCACCAAAAUCGGUGAGACUAAGAAAACAAUAGGGCUUGGCCAAUUUCAAGAAGUGUGUGCUCUCUCAUAAGUUUUUCCAAGAGCAUUUGGUGUUGUGUGAAGCAUUUGAGGCAUCACACUUGGGGUGCUAGGCUCACAAGGUUUCAAGGAACACAAGCAACAACAAGGUAAGUUAUUCUAUCUAUUAUUCAAGUUAAAAUUGUUCCCCAUGUAUGCUAGAUAGGAAUAUAGCCUUGGAAUUCAACUUAGCAUGAUAAUUAGACAAACAUAGAUCCAAGGUUAUUAGGGUUGCAUGUACACUUAGGAAGUGUUAGAAUGCUCAAAACCCAUCAGUGGUAUCAGAGCCUAGGCUUGUUUGCUUUUUAUUUGUGCUUAAAAGUUGAAAAAAAAGUCAAAAAUCUUGCUGUCUGACGAAUGGACUCGCCGAGUCGAUGGGGGGACUCGUCGAGUUCACUUGUAUCUGCAACCUACUCGGCGAGUAGGUUCAUGCACUCGGCGAGUAGGGUCGACAGAGUGCAGAAUUUCGACUUCAGUUGCUGGAAAUGGAUUGGAUACAUUACCCUAAAUUGUUUUGGUACUUGAAAACUUGUUUUAGAAGGUGUAAUGUCUUUUCUAACUCAUUUACAACAACUAGUUAUCAAAAUUACAAAGAUUAAAUGUGAUUUUGAUUCUUGAAGGUGUUCAUAUUCAUAUUCUUGUUCUUAUGAUGUUUAGAUGAUCAUAGGAAUUAUUUGUAACCUAUGUGGUAGUUUAAUUCUUGAUCAUAAUGUGUUUUAAUGGAGUCCAUAACUUGUCCUCAAGUUAUGGAAAACCAAAAGUCUCUUGGAUUAAAAACCCUUAAAAGAACACAAGAGUUAGGAAAAAUGAAAAGUCCUCAUUUUAUUACUCUAUUAAACUCAUAAGUUACAAGAAAUGAAAAGUUUUGAAAGUUUACAAAACUUGCCCUCAAGUUUUGGAACAAGUAAAGUUAAGUUAAAACUUUAGUUCCAACCCCUAGAAUUUUAAAAGUUAAAAUUCAACCCUUAUACUUAUAUUAUU
rnacentral:lncRNA from 1 species